rnacentral:rRNA from 1 species
CCUGGUUGAUCCUGCCAGUAGUCAUAUGCUUGUCUCAAAGAUUAAGCCAUGCAUGUGUAAGUACAGGCCGACUUAAGGCGAAACCGCGGACGGCUCAUUAAAUCAGAUAUAACUCAUUGGAUCUCUGCUGAACCGCAUUACUUGGAUAACUGUGGUAAUUCUAGAGCUAAUACAUGCCUUUGUAGUCUCCGACCGCGAGGGAGGAGCGCUUUUAUUAGACCAAAACCCUCGGCAGCCGGUUCCCGCAAGGGGCCGGCCGCACACAUCUUGGUGAAUCAGAAUAACUUUUGCCGAGCGCACGACCCCUCCCGUAACCCGGGUUGGGUCGGCGCCGCGUCCUGCAGGCGUCUGCCUUAUCAGCUCUCGAUUGUAGGUUAAACGCCUACAAUGGCUAUCACGGGUAACGGGGAAUCAGGGUUCGAUUCCGGAGAGGGAGCCUGAGAAACGGCUACCACAUCUAAGGAAGGCAGCAGGCGCGCAAAUUACCCACUCCCGGCACGGGGAGGUAGUGACGAAAAAUACUGUUGCGAGCCCCGAACGGGGCCUCGCAAUUGGAAUGAGUACACUUUAAAUCCUUGUACGAGGAUCGAGUGGAGGGCAAGUCUGGUGCCAGCCGCCGCGGUAAUUCCAGCUCCACUAGCGUAUAUUAAAGUUGUUGCGGUUGAAACGCUCGUAGUUUGACUUCUGCUCCGGACCGGCGGUCCGCCUUAGCGGCGGCUACUGCCGGGUUCCGAGCUGUGUCCCCGCCGGCGCACAUGGGGUUUUUAUGCCCUUAACCGGGUGUCCCCUUGUGGCCGGCACGUUUACUUUGAAAAAAUUAGAGUGCUCAGAGCAGGCUGGUUUUUGCUUACAGCCCGAAUGGUCGUGCAUGGAAUGAUGGAACAGGACCUCGGUUCUAUUUUGUCGGUUUUUCGGAACCCGAGGUAAUGAUUAAUAGAAGCAGACGGGGGCAUUCGUACUGCGACGCUAGAGGUGAAAUUCUUAGACCGUCGCAUGACGACCUACUGCGAAAGCAUCUGCCAAGGAUGUUUUCAUUGAUCAAGAACGAAAGUUAGAGGUUCGAAGGCGAUCAGAUACCGCCCUAGUUCUAACCUUAAACGAUGCUGACUAGCGAUCCGCCGCAGUUAUUCCCAUGACCCGGCGGGUAGCUUCCGGGAAACCAAAGUCUUUGAGUUCCGGGGAAGUAUGGUUGCAAAGCUGAAACUUAAAGGAAUUGACGGAAGGGCACCACCAGGCUCAGACUCUGGCUCUUCAGGAAACUCCUCGGACAGCAUUGUGUCCUCAUCAAGUGGGGAUAAAAUCAGUGGACUUGAGGCAAAUAAACCUGUGGAAUCGCCACCACUCGGCUACCCAUUGGUACGACCUGUACCCCAGCCAACCCCAGAAAGCACAACUACAACCCAUCCCAGGCCACAGCCUACCUAUGGGAAAGGUGUGCGUUUCAAAGGCAAGAGAGCUUAUCCUACCGUGCCCAACCAGCCCUCCGAGGCUAGUGCUUAUUUCAUGUUCGAGUUGGCCAAGACUGUGCUGAACAGAGCUGGAGGAAAUAUUAGCACAUCACUGUUUACUCAGCCAAGCAGUUCACAGAACCACAGAGGGCCACAUCGACCACUCCACAUGUGUGCAUUCCAAAUUGGCCUCUAUGCCCUUGGCCUUCACAAUUGUGUCAGCCCCAACUGGCUUUCAAGAACAUAUUCCUCACAUGUUUCAUGGAUUACAAGCCAAGCAGUGGAAAUUGGAUCACCAGC